rnacentral:tRNA from 3 species
GCUAGCAUAGCUCAGUAGGAAGAGCGCCUGCCUUGUAAGCAGGAUGUCGCGGGUUCGACUCCUGCUGCUAGCUCCA